rnacentral:tRNA from 1 species
GCUUUUAAAGGAUAACAGCCAUCCACUGGCCUUAGGAGCCACCUAUCUUGGUGCACUUGCACGUAAAAGCA